UCUGAAUUCCUGGGUUCAAAUCUUGGCUCUUCCAAAGCUGUUCCUUCAUCAGUAAAAUGGGGUAAAACUCACACUUACCUCGCGGAGCUGUCAAGAUAAAUGUGUUAUGGGACUUGUUCUCUUCUUCCUCCCCAGCCCCACCCCCAGGAGCUCAGGAGCUGGGGAGUAUCGAGGGGACGCCAAGCCGGCCCUUCACCCAGCUGUGCCUUGAACUCUGCCUUGACCUUUGAAAGGAAAUCUGAUAGCUAGUAAAUAAGACUCCAGGAGCGAGCAACCUGAGCAGAGAUGAGCAGAACAGAGAGAGGACUACGGGUCAAGGUCAGCCCAUGGCCCCAAAGGACUGUGAAUGGCCCGACCCAUAGCUGGCUUCUUGGUAAUUACUUCCAAGGUUCGAGACUUAGUGAACCCAGGGCUUUUAAAGAGACUCACUCCUUAUGCUGCAGGGUGUUUUUGUCAAAUGUGAUUUCUUGCCUUUGGUUAUGAGGGAAAGAGUCACCUAGACCAGACUGAGGGCAAACAAAAAAGAAAAAGGAGGACUUUAGCUCCAGACUCCGCUCACCACUGACACUGAAACGCCUCUCCUUCAAUGUUCUGGGACAACGGCAUUUGCAUCAACAGGCUUCACUGAAACUGUCAGCAGAAAACUAGUUUCUCCCACAUGAAACUAGUUAGUAUUAACUUCUUAUUAGUAUUGACUUAUUUAAAAAAACAUUACUCCUUGUAAAAAAUCCAAGCAUAGCAAAUACAGCUCAAGACCCACUUGACUCAACAUUCUGGCCAGCGGCGCAGGGGAGAGCACGGGACCAGUGCAGCUGAGGUCCUCUUGACUGCUUUCCUGUAUGUUUGUGUAUGGACAGACAGGUUUCAAGGGGCGUCACACUGUGACCGUGAUUCUUCCCAAUUAGCACACACUGCCCUCGGGCGCACUGCACGCAUCGACGUGUGCACCGGAACUUAACCACUCCCCAGACGGGGAGCACGUUGGUCACCUCCAUCUGUGGUUACAUUACACCCCACGCUCCAGUGCACAUCGCUGUGAAUGCCCCUAUAAACACAUAUCUUUGUAUACAUGAGGGAAUAUUUCUCUAGGUAGCUAGAGAAAUCGAAUUAUUGGCCUUGAUCAUUUAAAUUUUAAUAUAUAUUGCCAAACUGCCAUCUACAGUGGUUGUACCAUUUCCAUGAACAGAUGCUGACAAAGUUAAGACAAGUGAUAGCAUGAGAGAAAGAAAAAAAAAAUA